GAAACAUUUGCCAUCGCGCUGCGGGCAAGUCGACACCUUGUGCUCACCACCACAAAUAACACAUCGAGGUGGUCUCCAAUUCCUCGACUGCUGUCGGGGAUACCGAGGGGGUUUCUUAGCAUUUGGCCGGCCCCCGGCACCGCCCGCCGCUCUCUUCUUGCCUUUGUCCUUAGACUCGGCCAUAACUUCUCUUUCUUCACGUACAUGGGCGCUACCGUGCUCCGCCCACAAAGCUCUAUCAAAGACCUCCGCAAAGGUCGAC
rnacentral:lncRNA from 1 species